rnacentral:tRNA from 1 species
UCCUAGUUAGUACAACGGUUAGUAUAUGUCGCUCUCAUGUGUUUCGACUGUGAAGCGCCGACAAGACCCGGGUUCGACUCCCGGAUUGGGAA